rnacentral:rRNA from 1 species
AGUGAACGCUGGCGGCGUGCUUAACACGUGCAAGUCGAACGAGAACGGGUUAUAACUUGUUAUAACUGUCAGCUAAGUGGCGCACGGGUGAGUAAUGUAUAGGUAAUAUGCCUCUUACUAAGGGAUAACAAAUGGAAACGUUUGCUAAUACCUUAUACUCCUUAUUAACCUAAGUUAAUAAGGGAAAGAUUUAUUGGUAAGAGAUUAGCCUGUAUUGUAUCAGUUAGUUGGUGGGGUAAUGGCUUACCAAGACUAUGACACAUAACUGGUUUGAGAGGAUGAUCAGUCACACUGGAACUGAGACACGGUCCAGACUCCUACGGGAGGCAGCAGUGGGGAAUAUUGCACAAUGGACGGAAGUCUGAUGCGGCAACGCCGCGUGGAGGAUGACACAUUUCGGUGCGUAAACUCCUUUUAUAUGAGAAGAUAAUGACGGUAUUAUAUGAAUAAGCACCGGCUAACUCCGUGCCAGCCGCCGCAGUAA